UACGUAGGGUGCGAGCGUUGUCCGGAAUUAUUGGGCGUAAAGGGCUCGUAGGCGGUUUGUCGCGUCGGGAGUGAAAACUCAGGGCUUAACCCUGAGCCUGCUUCCGAUACGGGCAGACUAGAGGUAUGCAGGGGAGAACGGAAUUCCUGGUGUAGCGGUGAAAUGCGUAGAUAUCUGGAGGAACACCGGUGGCGAAGGCGGCAUCCUGGACCGGUAUUGACGCUGAGGCGCGAAAGCCAGGGGAGCAAACGGG
rnacentral:rRNA from 1 species